GGCUCGCGGGAUUCGAUUGAGUUUGAUCCUGGCUCAGGAUGAACGCUGGCGGCAUGCCUAAUACAUGCAAGUCGAACGAGAGACCUUCGGGUCUCUAGUGGCGAACGGGUGAGUAACACGUAGGGAACCUGCCCGCGCACCGGGAAUACGCUCUGGAAACGGAGAACAAAUCCCGAUGUACAGGAAGGAGGCAUCUUCUUUCUGUGAAACAUCCUUUCGGGGAUGGGGCGCGGAUGGACCUGCGGUGCAUUAGUUUGUUGGCGGGGUAAAGGCCCACCAAGACGAUGAUGCAUAGCCGGCCUGAGAGGGCGGACGGCCACAUUGGGACUGAGACACGGCCCAGACUCCUGCGGGAGGCAGCAGUAGGGAAUUUUCGUCAAUGGGCGCAAGCCUGAACGAGCGAUGCCGCGUGAGUGAAGAAGGCCUUCGGGUCGUANAGCUCUGUUGCGGGGGAAAAAAGGCAGCAUCAGGAAAUGGGUGCUGACUGAUGGUGCCCCGCCAGAAAGUCACGGCUAACUACGUGCCAGCAGCCGCGGUAAUACGUAGGUGGCGAGCGUUAUCCGGAAUGAUUGGGCGUAAAGGGUGCGCAGGCGGUCCUGCAAGUCUGGAGUGAAACGCAUGAGCUCAACUCAUGCAUGGCUUUGGAAACUGGAGGACUGGANAGCANGAGAGGGCGGUGGAACUCCAUGUGUGGCGGUAAAAUGCGUAGAUAUAUGGAAGAACACCAGUGGGCGAGGCGGCCCGCCUGGCCUGUUGCUGACGCUGAAGCACGAAAGCGUGGGGAGCAAAUAAGAUUAGAUACCCUAGUAAUCCAC
rnacentral:rRNA from 1 species